rnacentral:rRNA from 1 species
CCAGACUCCUACGGGAGGCAGCAGUGGGGAAUAUUGGGCAGUGGGCGCAAGCCUGACCCAGCAACGCCGCGUGAAGGAAGAAGGCUUUCGGGUUGUAAACUUCUUUUGACAGGGAAGAGCAGAAGACGGUACCUGUCGAAUAAGCCACGGCUAACUACGUGCCAGCAGCCGCGGUAAUACGUAGGUGGCAAGCGUUGUCCGGAUUUACUGGGUGUAAAGGGCGUGCAGCCGGAGAGACAAGUCAGAUGUGAAAUCCACGGGCUCAACCCGUGAACUGCAUUUGAAACUGUUUCCCUUGAGUGUCGGAGAGGUAAUCGGAAUUCCUAGUGUAGCGGUGAAAUGCGUAGAUAUUAGGAGGAACACCAGUGGCGAAGGCGGCCUGCUGGACGAUGGCUGACGUUGAGGCUCGAAAGCGUGGGGAGCAAACAGGAUUAGAUACCCGAGUA